rnacentral:rRNA from 1 species
GACGUAGGGCGCGAGCGUUGUCCGGAUUUAUUGGGCGUAAAGAGCUCGUAGGCGGCUUGUCGCGUCGACUGUGAAAACCCGGGGCUCAACCCCGGGCCUGCAGUCGAUACGGGCAGACUAGAGUGCGGUAGGGGGAGACUGGAAUUCCUGGUGUAGCGGUGAAAUGCGCAGAUAUCAGGAGGAACACCGGUAGCGAAGGCGGGUCUCUGGGCCGUAACUGACGCUGAGGAGCGAAAGCGUGGGGAGCGAACAGG